GCCCGGGUGGUGGAACGGUAGACACAGGGGACUUAAAAUCCUCUGCCGAUGAGGCGUGCGGGUUCGAAUCCCGCCCCGGGCA
rnacentral:tRNA from 1 species